rnacentral:tRNA from 1 species
GUUGGGAUAGCUCAGUUGGUAGAGCAAAGGACUGAAAAUC